AUCAUAGAUCGUAUGUUGCCAUGUCUCUCGGUUUUGCAUGUUUGAACCUUCGCGAAAAGGACGUGUUCCCAUAGAUAUCUGUGGUAUGUCCUAACUCAUUUCUAGGUUAAAAAAAUUUAAAUAUGAAGAAGUAGCAUGGCUACUUGUGAGACUAUAGGCUACUUGUAUCACUAGAAAACUCAAGUUCCAAUACAGUUCUAUGGCAGCCUGUUCAAUUUUGUGAAAUGGUGAAAGGGGGGUAACUCUUUUUGAAAAUAUGUUUGUCUCCCUUUCACCAUUAGGAAAAUUCGCAGAUUGCAUGAUCUCCAAGAUCCGAAAACAAGCAUAGUACCAUAACUUUGGACGAGAUUCAGAAAACAAAUGAAAGAUCACCAAGUGGGCUUAAGCAGAUUGUAUAUUUUAUUGAAAGGUGCCGAUCCUCCAAAACAACAAUCCAAGUUUUUCUUCUCCUGGUAAAACUAUCUUAAAGGUCGAAUGGUACUAACGUGUGAUAUGUUUCAGUAGUUUACGACUACGUGCCGGUAGCAUUGACAGAUAUACGCUCGUGUUUUGAAGAUAGCUGUUGGGAUAAAGUACUCAUACGCCUGCUUAAAUAAUAACCAAUAGUAGUUAUAGUCUGAUUGUUUUCUCAUAUUUUGACAAAUCUA